GGCCGGUUAGCUCAGUGGUUUGAGUGCGGUGCUGACAACACUGAGGUCAUGGGUUCGAUUCCCGCUCGGUCC
rfam:Apaloderma vittatum contig10269, whole genome shotgun sequence.